ACGCUCGACACCUACAGGAGGCAGCAGUGGGGAAUAUUGCACAAUGGGGGAAACCCUGAUGCAGCGACGCCGCGUGGAGGAAGAAGGUCUUCGGAUUGUAAACUCCUGUUGUUGGGGAAAAAGAGGAUGGUACCCAACAAGGAAGUGACGGCUAACUACGUGCCAACAGCCGCGGUAAUCUGAGCGGGCUGGCAAGGC
rnacentral:rRNA from 1 species